UACUGAUAGAGGGUUUGUAUUAUUGGACCCUAGAGAAAGAACACCGUCUGUCACAGUUGAUGAAGAUGACGAUGAAGAGACCACAUCUGCUGUGACAGAAGUGGACAAUGCUGGUAGAUCCACUGAGUACAUACCUGGGGAUUUGCCCACAGAUGAAGGUCCUUCAACCUCAAUGUAC